GAACGUCGUGAGACAGUUCGGUCCUCUAUCCGCUGUGGGCGUCUGUGAUUUGAGGGGUUCAUUCUCUAGUACGAGAGGACCGAGAAUGACGAACCUCUGGUGUUCCGGUUGUCACGUCAGUGGCAGCGCCGGGUAGCUAUGUUCGGAAGGGAUAAGCGCUGAAAGCAUCUAAGCGCCAAGCCCAUCCCAAGAUAAGAUCACAAUCCCCGCAAGGGGUGAAAGGUCCGGGUAGACCACCCGGUUGAUAGGACAGAAAUGUAAUCGGAGUAAUCCGUUGAGUUUA
rnacentral:rRNA from 1 species